GAUGAAGAACGCAGCGAAAUGCGAUAAGUAAUGUGAAUUGCAGAAUUCAGUGAAUCAUCGAAUCUUUGAACGCACAUUGCGCCCGCUAGUAUUCUGGCGGGCAUGCCUGUCCGAGCGUCAUUUCAACCCUCAAGCCCCCGGGCUUGGUGUUGGGGAUCGGCGAGCCUCCGCGCCCGCCGUCCCCUAAAUCUAGUGGCGGUCUCGCUGUAGCUUCCUCUGCGUAGUAGCACACCUCGCACUGGGAAACAGCGCGGCCACGCCGUUAAACCCCCAACUUCUGAACGUGUGACCUCGGAUCAGGUAGGAAUACCCGCUGAUCUUAAGCAUAUCAAUAAGCGGAGG
rnacentral:misc_RNA from 1 species